rnacentral:rRNA from 1 species
UACGUAGGUGGCAAGCGUUGUCCGGAUUUAUUGGGUUUAAAGGGUGCGUAGGCGGUCUUUUAAGUCAGUGCUGAAAUAUCCCGGCUUAACCGGGAGGGUGGCAUUGAUACUGAAGGGCUUGAGUAAAGUUGAGGUUGGCGGAAUUGACGGUGUAGCGGUGAAAUGCUUAGAUAUCGUCAAGAACACCGAUAGUGCAGACAGCUAACUAAGCUUUAACUGACGCUGAGGCACGAAAGUGUGGGGAUCAAACAGG